ACUGAAAGUAUGAGUAACAUUCCCAUUCCCAUUGUUUUGUCAUAACAAAACAAUGACAAGGCUCAACCAUUAAGAGAACAUAAAAAUCCUGGACAUUUUUACCACUCUGCACCCCAAGUCCUGCCCCUGCCGCCUGCAGCACACACAGAAUAAAACAAGCAACAACCCAUCAAGUUAUCUGCUAUGUCGGUUAGGAUAACCAUCUCCGAUGGCUUCACGAAGAGCCUUUAAUAACGGCACUACUUACAGAAAGGAUUAAAAGAGCAAACAAGAAGGUGAGGCCCCCAGAGACUUCCCACAACUUAUUGAUGUCUCUUGGGCUAAAGAAACAAGAAGAGGAAGUAGAGCUGGCAGAGCAGGGGCCCUGUGUGUGUUCUAAAACCACAAAGGGACACAGCUGCUGUAAGAGAUUCUGCACUGAGCAAGAGGAAAUGGGGAAAAGAGAGACUGGCAGACAGACAAUGCCUCCUAUUGAACCAGCAAGAGAGAAAAUCAUGUGACUCAUCUGAUUCCAUCACUAGGCUUCUGUGGGGGAAUCCUGAAAAAGGAUACAGCUUAUGGACUCUUUCUUCCAAUGAAGCUCAUCGUGCUAGAAGCUUUAAUAGCCUAGGACUUGCUUCCAGGCAGUUCAUAGAUCUUUAUUUCUUUGAAGUCAUUUGCUGGAAUAUUAAUUGUGAUUGUUUGGUGGUGCCAUACUUCCUUGAUUUUGUGGUGGUGUUUGAAGUCUUAUGUUGCUGUCUUCACAUCUGAAGAAACAGUCACAUCCUUCAGUCUAUUUACUGACUUUGGGAAAAUAAUGCAGUAAUAUAAAUUGCAAUGUCUUCUGUGGCCAUGGAAGAUUUAACAAGCCUUCAGCUUCCUCAUUUGUAGAAUUAGACCACCAGUUAUGAUUUGGACCUGACAAGAAAUGGAAUAUGCUAACCCCAAGUGUCGCCCAGUCAUUUCCCAUGGACAUACCAGAUACUGCCAAAUUUUACCUUUUACUUAUUUGCCAUUAAUCUAUGGAUUACCUGCUUUGUGGUAGUGGUGAUGCAGUGGUGCCUAAGGAUAUGGGAUAAGUUCUGCAGAAGCAUACAGUAGGAACAGAGCAAAGAGAUAAAGAGGAUCCUACAAAUUAACCAUAGAAUAUGAGAGAAAUGCCUGAGGGUCAGAUGGCAUUAAGAAUGAGGUAUAUGGAAGAAAUGUUCACCUGGGACAGAGAGAUACUCUGAUAGGUGAAGAAAAUCAAUCACAAGCAAGCUUUUGAGUUCGGAUCCUUUUUGUAUUGCACAUGACCUGGAGUGGGUCCCAGCUUCGUCACUUCUGUGAAAGAGCCAGCAACAGAAGCAGCAGUUCAGAUCAUCUAGUGCUGGAGCUGAGGGGGACUUACAUCAUUUCAGAAUGCUUCAGGUGAGGAGCUGAUGGAAAAAGUUAUCUGUAGGACAUCCAGCAUUGCCAAGUCUUCCUCCUCCAUAUCACCAGUGCUAGCUGAUUAUAGUCAAAGGAGUUGACCACCUAAUAGUGUCUAAUAGCUCUUUUUUCUCAUAGGCAUUUUAUGAAAGACAUAGUUGCUAAAUAAGAUAGUACCCAAUAUGAGUUCUGACCAGCUAAAGCUCUUUCUCUGGAAGUAUAUCCAUUUCUUCCUUCUUAACCUCAACAGGAGAGACACAGGCUAGGG
rnacentral:lncRNA from 13 species